CACAGUCUAGCAAGGCAGCAAGUUUGAGAGUCUAUGAAUGCUACUCAAAUUUAAUAUCCAGUUUUAUUUUAAUUUUUUAAAAAUGUUAUGCAGUUUGCAGAAGCAUACUGGAGUUUGCAUGGUAAAUUUUGUACAUUAGCAAGAAAUAUAACUGAUUUUGUGCACUGAGUUUUAAUACAGAUUUUUGUUGCUCACAAAUAAAUGUUUUUAAAUUGCAGAGACCAUGACAACAAGAGAUAACUUGAAAGAUGUUGGAACUCAGUAUGAGUGUUUAGUGUCUUUCAAGGAAUCUUCAAGUUCAACCCCAGUGAAAACAAUGCCAGCACCACCUCAGCUACAAGAGAGCCCCAUAAAAAUCUAUGAAGAUUCUAAUGACCCUUUAUAUGAGCCAGGAGACUUAUCAUUUCAAGAAGACAAAUUCAGUUCACCAGACACAUCAGAUGAAAAGAUCACAUCCAUAACACCAGUUACACCUAGCUGGAAGAGUGAGAGAAAAUACAUUGUAUUUGAGUCGAAGUUGCUGGAACUGUUUAGUGUUUGCCCUACAUGUGCAGGGCCAGCUCAGGGGCAGAUUGUACGGGAAGUUGGCUCUCUAGUACAAGUGGUGACCAAAUGCCCCAAUUGUGAAGCCACCACGCGUGACUGGAACAGUCAGCCGAUUGUUCAUCAGCUACCAGUUGGUAACCUUGUUGCCUCUGCAGCAAUCCUUCUGUCAGGGUCACUCCCCACAUAGGCGCUCAAGGUCUUUAAGAUUAUGAAUGCGGCCAUGCAUAACAAGUCGACUUACUUCAGGCAUCAGACCAACUAUGUCAUACCUUCAGUUGUCUGCAUUUAGAAAGAACAACAGGAGGAUUUGUUUCAGAAACUAAGAGAAAGUGGUGUGCCUCUAGACUUAGCUGGUGAUGGCCGAAGUGACUCGCCUGGUCAUUCAGCAAAAU
rnacentral:misc_RNA from 1 species